rnacentral:rRNA from 1 species
UACGAAGGGGGCUAGCGUUGCUCGGAAUUACUGGGCGUAAAGCGCACGUAGGCGGCUUCUUAAGUCGGGGGUGAAAUCCUGGAGCUCAACUCCAGAACUGCCUUCGAUACUGGGAAGCUCGAGUCCGGGAGAGGUGAGUGGAAUUCCGAGUGUAGAGGUGAAAUUCGUAGAUAUUCGGAGGAACACCAGUGGCGAAGGCGGCUCACUGGUCCGGUACUGACGCUGAGGUGCGAAAGCGUGGGGAGCAAACAGG